CUUAGUCUUAAACUUCAAUAAUUUUCAAAACAAAAUUAUUUGCCAGAGAACUACUAGCCACCGCUUAAAACUCAAAGGACUUGGCGGUACUUUAUAUCCACCUAGAGGAGCCUGUUCUAUAAUCGAUAAACCCCGAUAUACCUCACCACCCCUUGCUAAUUCAGCCUAUAUACCGCCAUCUUCAGCAAACCUUUAAAAAAGAACAAAAGUAAGCAAGAGUAUACCCAUAAAAACGUUAGGUCAAGGUGUAGCCAAUGAGGUGGGAAGAAAUGGGCUACAUUUUCUUUACAAGAACAUUUACGAAACUCUUUAUGAAAUUAAAGAAUAAAGGAGGAUUUAGUAGUAAAUUAAGAACAGAGUGCUUAAUUGAAUAGAGCAAUGAAGUA
rnacentral:rRNA from 1 species